rnacentral:rRNA from 1 species
ACUCCUACGGGAGGCAGCAGUGGGGAAUAUUGGACAAUGGGCGGAAGCCUGAUCCAGCAACGCCGCGUGAGGGAUGACGGCCUUCGGGUUGUAAACCUCUUUCAGCACCGACGAAGCGACUCUUUUGGGGAGUGACGGUAGGUGCAGAAGAAGGACCGGCCAACUACGUGCCAGCAGCCGCGGUAAUACGUAGGGUCCGAGCGUUGUCCGGAAUUAUUGGGCGUAAAGGGCUCGUAGGCGGUUUGUCGCGUCGGGAGUGAAAACACUGGGCUUAACUCAGUGCUUGCUUUCGAUACGGGCAGACUGGAGGUAUGCAGGGGAGAACGGAAUUCCUGGUGUAGCGGUGAAAUGCGCAGAUAUCAGGAGGAACACCGGUGGCGAAGGCGGUUCUCUGGGCAUUACCUGACGCUGAGGAGCGAAAGUGUGGGGAGCGAACAGGAUUAGAUACCCUGGUAGGCUCUGCU